rnacentral:rRNA from 1 species
AGAGUUUGAUCAUGGCUCAGAACGAACGCUGGCGGCAGGCCUCAAACAUGCAAGUCUAGGGGGUGCAGCAAUGCAUCACCGGCGGACGGGUGCGUAACGCGUGGGAAUAUACCUAUUGGUUCGGAACAACUGCGGGAAACUGCAGCUAAUACCGAAUGUGCCCGCAAGGGGAAAGAUUUAUCGCCAAUGGAUUAGCCCGCGUAGGAUUAGCUAGUUGGUGGGGUAAUGGCCCACCAAGGCUCCGAUCCUUAGCUGUUCUGAGAGGAAGAUCAGCCACACUGGGACUGAGACACGGCCCAGACUCCUACGGGAGGCAGCAGUUGGGAAUCUUGGACAAUGGGGGAAACCCUGAUCCAGCCAUGCCGCGUGAGUGAUGAAGGCCUUCGGGUUGUAAAACUCUUUCGACGGGGACGAUAAUGACGGUACCCGUAGAAGAAGCUCCGGCUAACUUCGUGCCAGCAGCCGCGGUAAUACGAAGGGGGCUAGCGUUGUUCGGAAUUACUGGGCGUAAAGCGCGCGCAGGCGGCUAUCCAAGUCAGUGGUGAAAGCCCGGAGCUCAACUCCGGAACUGCCAUUGAAACUGUUUAGCUUGAGGACGAGAGAGGUGAGUGGAAUUCCCAGUGUAGAGGUGAAAUUCGUAGAUAUUGGGAAGAACACCGGUGGCGAAGGCGGCUCACUGGCUCGUUUCUGACGCUCAGGCGCGAUAGCGUGGGGAUCAAACAGGAUUAGAUACCCUAGUAGUCC